rnacentral:tRNA from 1 species
GGCAACUUGGCCGAGCGGUCUAAGGCGCCAGACUCAAGAUAAUGGCUCGUUCAAGAGCCUGCGUCUUCCCUGAGUACCAGGGAGCAUUCUGGUCUCGAAAGAGGCGUGAGUUCGAAUCUCACAGUUGUCA